rnacentral:rRNA from 1 species
AGUUAACGCUGGCGGUAGGCCUAACGCAUGCAAGUCGAACGGCAGCACAGUAAGAGCUUGCUCUUACGGGUGGCGAGUGGCGGACGGGUGAGGAAUACAUCGGAAUCUACUUUUUCGUGGGGGAUAACGUAGGGAAACUUACGCUAAUACCGCAUACGACCUACGGGUGAAAGCAGGGGAUCUUCGGACCUUGCGCGAUUGAAUGAGCCGAUGUCGGAUUAGCUAGUUGGCGGGGUAAAGGCCCACCAAGGCGACGAUCCGUAGCUGGUCUGAGAGGAUGAUCAGCCACACUGGAACUGAGACACGGUCCAGACUCCUACGGGAGGCAGCAGUGGGGAAUAUUGGACAAUGGGCGCAAGCCUGAUCCAGCCAUACCGCGUGGGUGAAGAAGGCCUUCGGGUUGUAAAGCCCUUUUGUUGGGAAAGAAAAGCAGCAGGUUAAUACCCCGCUGUUCUGACGGUACCCAAAGAAUAAGCACCGGCUAACUUCGUG